rnacentral:rRNA from 1 species
UGGGGAAUAUUGCACAAUGGGCGCAAGCCUGAUGCAGCCAUGCCGCGUGUAUGAAGAAGGCCUUCGGGUUGUAAAGUACUUUCAGUCGGGAGGAAGGUGGUAAGGUUAAUAACCUUAUCAAUUGACGUUACCGACAGAAGAAGCACCGGCUAACUCCGUGCCAGCAGCCGCGGUAAUACGGAGGGUGCAAGCGUUAAUCGGAAUUACUGGGCGUAAAGCGCACGCAGGCGGUUGAUUGAGUCAGAUGUGAAAUCCCCGGGCUUAACCCGGGAAUUGCAUCUGAUACUGGUUAGCUAGAGUCUUGUAGAGGCGGGUAGAAUUCCAUGUGUAGCGGUGAAAUGCGUAGAGAUGUGGAGGAAUACCGGUGGCGAAGGCGGCCCCCUGGACAAAGACUGACGCUCAGGUGCGAAAGCGUGGGGAGCAAACAGG